rnacentral:tRNA from 1 species
GCAUUGGUGGUUCAGUGGUAGAAUUCUCACCUUCCAUGCAGGAGACCUGGGUUUAAUUCCCAGCCAAUGCA